rnacentral:tRNA from 1 species
AGUCUUAUAUUCAUAACAUGAUAUUAGAAUGCAAUUCUGAUGGUGUAAUAAAAUUACUAAGACUU